rnacentral:rRNA from 1 species
GUAAACGGCGGCCGUAACUAUAACGGUCCUAAGGUAGCGAAAUUCCUUGUCGGGUAAGUUCCGACCCGCACGAAAGGCGUAACGAUUUGGGCACUGUCUCAACGAGAGACUCGGUGAAAUCAUAGUACCUGUGAAGAUGCAGGUUACCCGCGACAGGACGGAAAGACCCCGUGGAGCUUUACUGUAGCCUGAUAUUGAAAUUCGGCACAGCUUGUACAGGAUAGGUAGGAGCCUUUGAAACGUGAGCGCUAGCUUACGUGGAGGCAUUGGUGGGAUACUACCCUAGCUGUGUUGGCUUUCUAACCCGCACCACUUAUCGUGGUGGGAGACAGUGUCAGGUGGGCAGUUUGACUGGGGCGGUCGCCUCCUAAAAGGUAACGGAGGCGCUCAAAGGUUCCCUCAGAAUGGUUGGAAAUCAUUCAUAGAGUGUAAAGGCAUAAGGGAGCUUGACUGCGAGACUUACAAGUCGAGCAGGGUCGAAAGACGGACUUAGUGAUCCGGUGGUUCCGCAUGGAAGGGCCAUCGCUCAACGGAUAAAAGCUACCCCGGGGAUAACAGGCUUAUCUCCCCCAAGAGUUCACAUCGACGGGGAGGUUUGGCACCUCGAUGUCGGCUCAUCGCAUCCUGGGGCUGUAGUCGGUCCCAAGGGUUGGGCUGUUCGCCCAUUAAAGCGGUACGCGAGCUGGGUUCAGAACGUCGUGAGACAGUUCGGUCCCUAUCCGUCGUGGGCGUAGGAAAUUUGAGAGGAGCUGUCCUUAGUACGAGAGGACCGGGAUGGACAUACCUCUGGUGUACCAGUUGUCGUGCCAACGGCAUAGCUGGGUAGCUAUGUAUGGACGGGAUAAGUGCUGAAAGCAUCUAAGCAUGAAGCCCCCCUCAAGAUGAGAUUUCCCAACUUCGGUUAUAAGAUCCCUCAAAGAUGAUGAGGUUAAUAGGUUCGAGGUGGAAGCGUGGUGACACGUGGAGCUGACGAAUACUAAUCGAUCGAAGACUUAAUCAA